ensembl:lncRNA
CACACUAGCUGGGCCCUCCUCGCCAUCAUCCUUUCUCUGCACCUGGGCUGGCUCCUCAUCUGCUACUUGAGACAUGGGCGUUUCCCAAGGGUCUCAUCAUUCUCACCAGCUGGCUCUUCUGGAUGAGUCUUAAAUCUUCGGCUCCAGCGCUGUUUUCCUUCUACACCCCAGGCUUGUCUAACAGCCCAGUCAGUGUGUUACCUCCUGAGGGCCAGAGGGGACCGGAUCCGCCAUGGGACAGGCACACUAUGAAGCAGAUGAGCAUCAGUGAACAGUUACUGAUCGUCUGGUGGGAGAUGGGGACCAAACUUUAAGGCCCACAAGGAUCCCAAGGAGUUUCCAGCUACGCCUCGCUGUCACCAGGUGCCACAGAUGAUGCCCAAACUGCCUGUUGGUCACUGCCUCCUUCCUCACCACCAUUUCCUCAUCCCAGGGUGGGACUGAGGGAUGGAAAUGUCAGCCCUGUCGGGGGGGGGGGGGGGAAGAAGUUAUUCUGACGGUCACAAGCCUUCUGAUCCCAUCACCUAUUAUAGAAGAGGCAGUUACCUCCAG